UGCAUAUCCAAAAAGCGGAGGAAAAGAAACCAACAGGGAUUGCCUUAGUAGCGGCGAGUGAAGCGGCAAUAGCUCAAAUUUGAAAUCUGGCACCUUCGGUGUCCGAGUUGUAAUUUGAAGAAGGUAUCUUUGGUUUUGGCCUUUGUCUAUGUUUCUUGGAACAGGACGUCACAGAGGGUGAGAAUCCCGUGCGACAAGGUGCCCAAUUCCAUGUAAAGUUCCUUCGACGAGUCGAGUUGUUUGGGAAUGCAGCUCUAAGUGGGUGGUAAAUUCCAUCUAAAGCUAAAUAUUGGCGAGAGACCGAUAGCGAACAAGUACUGUGAAGGAAAGAUGAAAAGAACUUUGAAAAGAGAGUGAAAAAGUACGUGAAAUUGUUGAAAGGGAAGGGCUUGAGGUCAGACUUGGUUUUACCAGGCCAGCAUCAGUUUGGAUGGCAGGAUAAUAGCUAAGAAAAGUGGCACAGCUUCGGUUGUGUGUUAUAGUCUUGGUUGAUACUGCCUGUCCAGACUGAGGACUGCGUCUUUGACUAGGAUGCUGGCAUAAUGACCUUAAGCCGCCCGUCUUGAAACACGGACCA
rnacentral:rRNA from 1 species